rnacentral:lncRNA from 1 species
GUGGGUGUCAGUUGUGGUGAUGUUGGCUGGUUGGGCUGGUCCAUCCUCUGACCCUGGGGGUGGGGUAGUCAGGUGCCAGCAGUGCUGGACUAGACGAGAUGAUUCCCCUAUUCUCAGGCCCCUACGUGGCCCACUGAAUGGCAUGUAUGAGUCUGAAAGCGGUUGGACCACGACUGUCAGUCAGCCCAGAUUUCAGGUGCUGGCUGUGAUUGAGGAUGGCAGUCUGGUGCCUAGGUCACUGGCAGAACUCUCAGAAAGGGGCAGGGAGAUGACAGGCCUAUGGGGACUGGGUUGCAGUUGAAAUGGUCUGGCCGGAGCAGAGUGGCUGUACUGUCAGACUUUCACUGGGGAGGGCAGAACCCCUCUUCUGAGGCAAUAAAGACUGGCAGCUGUGGAGCAUGUGGCCUGCUAGCACUUUUCUCCACAGAAGCAGUUCUGGAUUUCACUGUUGGGGCCUAUGAAGGUGCCUGCUGUCCUGGCCCGUGGGCAGCAGAGGCAGAGGCAGCAGUGGCAGAGGGUGUGGAGGGCCUAUCUGUGGCCUCUGGGAGUUGGCAGCUUCUGGGAGUCCACCCACAGCCACAGCAUUCAGAGUUUCACUCUUGUUACCCAGGCUGGAGUGCAACGGCACAAUCUCGGCUCACCGCAACCUCCGCUCACCGCAACCUCCGCCUCCUGGGUUCAGGUGAUUCUCCUGCCUCAGCCUCCUGAGUAGCUGGGAUUACAGGCACGCACCACCAUGCCCAGCUAAUUUUUAUUUUAUUUUAUAUUUUUAGUAGAGACGGGGUUUCACCUUGUUGACCAGGAUGGUCUCGAUCUCUUGACCUUGUGAUCCACCCUCCUCGGCCUCCCAAAGUGCUGGGAUUACAGGUGUGAGCCACUGCGCCCGGCUGUUUCUUUCUUUCUGUCUUUUCUUCAUUUGUAAUUAGAUAAUUUUAUCUAUUAGCAUGCUUUCAUUAUUUACUAUUUUAUUUAUUUAUUUAUUUAUUGAGACAGAGUCUUACUCUGUUUCCCAGGCUGCAGUGCAGUGGUAUGCUGAUGGCACACCGCGGCCUCAACCUCCUGGGCUCAAGUGAUCCUCCUGUCUCAGCCUCCUGAGUAGCUGGGACUACAGGUAUGCACCACCAAAUCUGGCUAAUUUUUUAAAAAAGUUCUGUAGAGACGGGGUCUCAUUUUGUUUUCCAGGCUGGUUUCAAAUUCCUGGCAUCAAGGAAUACUCCCAUCUCAGCUUCCCAAAGUGCUAGGAUUAGAGAUGUGAGCCACCAUGUCUGACUCAUUUCUUACUUUUUAUAUUUUGUGUUAUCUACUAUAGGUUUUUGCUUUGUG